UGUAUCUAAACAUCAGAGCUCCGCUCACCUGCAGAUGGGGUGCCGUGAGCUCUCAUGCCUUACUACAGGGAUCAGAACACGGGGAAUGACACAUCAUGCCUCCUGCAGCCUUAAACAGUAGCUAUACACCGUCUAAGCUGAAUUUCUACCGGACUUCCCCCCGCUCUGACCCCUGGUGUUUGGAAUUGAUCCAUUGCUCUUGGAAAUGGUGACUCAGCACAAGUGCAUGGCAACACCCAGGUGCAAAAUGUGACCAGAGCCUGGCCCUUGGUGUAUGGCUGCUGGGGGACAGCACAGACAGAACCUAAGAAGGAUGGGAAAAGGAGCUAAGCCCUCAACAAAUGGAGAUUGCCCAAGGAGGCUGUGGAUGCCCCAUCCCUGCAGGCAUCCAAGGCCAGGCUGGAUGUGGCUCUGGGCAGC